GCAAGUCGAACGAGAAAGUACCUUCGGGUAUGAGUACAGUGGCGGACGGGUGAGUAACGCGUAGGAAUCUACCUUCAGGCGGGGGACAACUCGGGGAAACUCGAGCUAAUACCGCAUAAUACCUAAGGGUCAAAGUGGGGGGUCUUCGGACCUCACGCCGGGAGAGGAGCCUGCGUUGGAUUAGCUAGUUGGUGGGGUAAAGGCCUACCAAGGCUACGAUCUAUAGCUGGUCUGAGAGGACGAUC
rnacentral:rRNA from 1 species